rnacentral:rRNA from 1 species
CCUUAGUAACGGCGAGUGAAGCGGUAAAAGCUCAAAUUUGAAAUCUGGUACUUUCAGUGCCCGAGUUGUAAUUUGUAGAAUUUGUCUUUGAUUAGGUCCUUGUCUAUGUUCCUUGGAACAGGACGUCAUAGAGGGUGAGAAUCCCGUUUGGCGAGGAUACCUUUUCUCUGUAAGACUUUUUCGAAGAGUCGAGUUGUUUGGGAAUGCAGCUCAAAGUGGGUGGUAAAUUCCAUCUAAAGCUAAAUAUUGGCGAGAGACCGAUAGCGAACAAGUACAGUGAUGGAAAGAUGAAAAGAACUUUGAAAAGAGAGUGAAAAAGUACGUGAAAUUGUUGAAAGGGAAGGGCAUUUGAUCAGACAUGGUGUUUUUUGCAUGCACUCGCCUCUCGUGGGCUUGGGCCUCUCAAAAAUUUCACUGGGCCAACAUCAAUUCUGGCAGCAGGAUAAAUCAUUAAGAAUGUAGCUACUUCGGUAGUGUUAUAGCUUUUUGGAAUACUGUUAGCCGGGAUUGAGGACUGCGCUUCGGCAAGGAUGUUGGCAUAAUGGUUAAAUGCCGCCCGUCUUGAAACACGGACCAAA